GGCACAUAUACAGAUGCAUUACUGCAUUGUGAAUUUGUGGUACGUCAAUGCUGAAGCGAAGAGGCAGAGACACAGAGAGAGUUUGCUUUACGUAAUGGGUCACCUUUUAACUUUAUCGCCAGAGUGAUGUGUUGUAUGGAUCUCACAUCUAUGCUUAUAUUUGGUAACAGUAUAUAUCUUAUUUCAUAAUUUGUAUGUCAUCAAUCAGUUGAAAAAUAUUUAAUAAUUAAACUUUCAAUUUAAAUAUAUUUUCUUAAUCGAUCAGUCUAACCUACUAAACCAAUGUGGAGUUAUUGCAAAAUGUAGAAUAGAUGGUUCAGACACGCGAGAGAAUAGAGAAGACGAUUUUGUUGAUAGAAAAAUGAAGGCAACAUUCAUGAGGGUCACUGUGUAGUGUGAGGAAAAGGACACUGUUGAGCUAGGUUUCGUGUUAGUAUAACUAAUGAGGUUUGAAGAUAGAAAUGAAGAAAAUGAAUGAGUGAGUGUGUCAAGAAAAUAGUUUUUCUGAUCGCAUUUCAGGAAUCCUAGUCAGGCAUCUGUUGCAGCACAAAACCUGAUAUGAAGAUAAAAUAUUCAUAUUAGUAUAAAGGAAAAAAGAAUCAUUUGAAAAGCUCUCCGUAAAUUCACCCACUCAAGUUCCGCACCCAACCCCAUAAAAUUAGGACCCAUCUCUGAUUUCUUCCCAUCCCCACACUCCAAACCCCGUUCUCUUUUUUCCACCCUCUAUUCUUGGCCUAAUUGUAUCAUAUAUUUGUGUAAUGCUCUGAGGUACGAAUGACUUGGUGAGUUGAAACAUGUUAAGACUUGUCCUUACCCGACCCUAAAUGUUGUUUGGACCAUUUUUCUGAAUAUGGACU